UGUCAUUAGACAGCCAACACUUCCUGUCCCUUCAAAAUACGAGUUCAACCUUCGAACCAAUAGCUGCCUAUACCGUGCCAAGUCAGCAGAUGGCGAUGUGCGUCUUUCGGGCGAUGCUGCUCAUGUGACGUAAAUUCUAGUGGACGGGACCAGAUGCUUCUUCAACAACAGCUAUCGUUGGUCAACUACGUCGGAGAGGGACCUGACUCUCGCCAUGACAGCAGGAAGAGUCCUUCAGGGGAACCAGACCCAGAGACACCCAAACCACCGAGACGACACCACUGUUCUCAGUGUGGAAAGAGUUUUGCCAAAUUAGGGAGCCUGAAAAAACACGAGAGAACACACACAGGAGAAAAGCCUCACCACUGCGCCCAAUGUGGAAAGAGUUUUAACUAUGUAGGGUACUUAUUAAUACAUCAAAGAAUACACUCUGGAGAGAAGCGUUACUGCUGCUCAAAAUGUGGGACAACUUUUACCUGGUUAGGGAGCCUGAAAACGCAUGAGAGGGCACACACAGGAGAAAAGCCUUUCCAAUGUUCCCACUGUGGAAAGCGUUUUACCCAGGUAGGGGCCCUAAAUAAGCACAAGAGGACACACACAGGAGAGAAACCCUUCCAAUGCUCUCUGUGUGGAAAGAGUUUUACUAAGUUAGGGGGCCUGUAUAGGCAUGACAGGGCACACACAGAAGGGGCUAAGACCUACCACUGCUCCCUGUGUGGAAAUAUAUUUAGCCAGUUACGGUAUCUGAAUAAGCAUGAAAGGAUACAUACACAGGAGGAGAAGACAUACCACUGCUCUCAUUGUGAAAAUAAAUUUUCCCAGUUAGAGGACAUGAAAUCACAUGAGAGAAUAGAAAGGCUGUGUUCAGACUUAUGUUUUUGACUUGAGAAUUUGUGUUUUUGUUUAUGCCUUAUGAAAUCAAAUUGUAUAUUUGAAAGCUUGCUUGAAAAUAGGCUUAUUUAAAGCUUGCUUGAAAAUAGGCUUAUUUUUGUAUUAUUGUUUUAGACAUGAUUAUAUAUAAAUUCAGAUGUAUUAAUUUUGUAUUAUGAUAUAUUGAAUACAAGAAUAAACCCCUUAGAUGUUCAUUUUAUGAUUUGGAUAUUUUAAAAUGUUGUAAAUUGUUAUUUAAGUAACAACUUGCACAGGGCUUGGCUAUAUUCUAAGCCAGGAGGCUGAUAGGCUCCUGUUCCUAUCUCCUAUUUCUGUUGGUUGAGGUAGCUUGUUGUACAAGUACACCCCCUGGACAGGAUGUUAGUUUAUACAAUUAUUAUAUAGAUUAAUGGUAUUUUGCAUUUAUUAAUUCUAACCUUAAACCCCUUGAAUUGAACAUAUGAUUUGGAUAUUGCUAAAUUAAUUUGAUUGGAUAAAUUGUUUGGAUGUUGAAAAAUGAAUUUGAUAAUGAUUUGGAUAUUUCAAAAUCUAAAUGGUUAAAUCAAUGAAUAGUGUGCAUUUCUUGUCAAUGUAUUUUAUUGAGUUAAUUUGUGUAUUAGUCGUCAAGCUAAAUGUGUAUGAAAAUGUGAUAAAUGCAAUAAAAUGCCAAUUAAUUACUUAAAAAUU